CGACUGAUGUGGGGAAAACCUGGAAGGAAGUUGCCUGCCCUCAGGAAACAUCAAACACAUUUACAGAAGAGCCAGAUUUCUCCUGCAGCACUUGAGAAAGCAGAUCCUUGCCCCUCACCUGAGCAGCGCAAUAGAUCCUGGAGCGGCAUGGGAACAAAGAAAGCACACGAGCAGAUAUCGCACACAUCCAAGCUUCUGUGCAUCUCCUGCUCCUGACUGUGGAUGCUAGCUUCUCCUGGAACUGUGAGUGCCAGCUCCAAGACACCCCAGCAAGUGCCCUGAUCGCGGUCAGGUUCUGAUCUGUCAACGUUCUGGAUGAGAAGGAUCUUCUCACAGGCCUGGUUGCUGGCAUAAAAGGACCAGGAGAUGACGUCAUCCCGCAAACUUGCUGAUCUCUCUUACGCCUAAAUAUUUUUCUUGUUUGGAUUGAAUUAAGUCAGUGGCAGUGUGCCCCACUUUGACUCCUUUAAGGACCCGGAAACGUGCCUUCCAUUGGAAUAUUACUUAAAAAUAAAGCCCUACAAACCCUA